UACGUAGGGUGCAAGCGUUGUCCGGAAUUAUUGGGCGUAAAGAGCUCGUAGGCGGUCUGUUGCGUCGGCUGUGAAAACCCGGGGCUCAACCCCGGGCCUGCAGCCGAUACGGGCAGACUAGAGUUCGGCAGGGGAGACUGGAAUUCCUGGUGUAGCGGUGAAAUGCGCAGAUAUCAGGAGGAACACCGGUGGCGAAGGCGGGUAGCUGGGCCGACACUGACGCUGAGGCGCGAAAGCCAGGGGAGCGAACGGG
rnacentral:rRNA from 1 species